AUGUACUAUUGGUAUACUUGCGUACCAAAACUAAGCCACACAGUGCAUUACACUAACUGGAUCCCUGCUUCGCGGAGCAAAGGAAAGACGGAGCCCACUCCCGACGAGAGCCUCGCUUCCUCUCUCGUCCAGCCUGUGUCCGAGCCUAGUGACCCAGGAGUCCAGCUUUCAGUACCCAGUGAAACUUUGCUUCGAGUGGACUCAAGUGUGACCAGGCUCGACACCUGGAUGCAGGCCUCUGCUCGGCCCCCGGACUGUGGCAGUGACGAGGUGAGCCUGCCGCCUUGGCGCCUCUGGCCCGCGGAGCGUGGACGCAGCUCUGCCCUCGGCCCCUCGGAGUGGUAGGAAGAACACUGGCCGCCUCUGCACUCUCGUUUCUCAGCCAGAACGUAGGACUUGGUUAGAGAACCGCCGUACCAGCCCCACUUCCAAAUCCAGUGUUGCCUCGCCGCAUUUAGGGUUGCCUGACCCGCGGAUGGGGCCCUCCACGGUGUGACUCGGCCGGGGUGGAAGGGGCUCCCGGGACACUCGUGCGAGUUCCUCGCCUGGCCGCCCUCGGGCCGGUGUGGGACACACGCCGUCUCAGUGGCUGAGACCCGAGGGCGGCACCCGGGAGGGGCGGACAGAGGCUCAGAAGCCUCGGUGUGUGAUUUGCGGAGGUGACUCCUACCCCGCACCCCGGGCUGUCCUGCCAGGAGGUGGAGGAAGGGAGACCAGGGGAGUGCAGGCGCAGGGGGAGCGGAGGGCAGGGCCGGGCUGAGGAAGGGAGGGAGGUGGCCCACCGCCCGCACGGCUGGCCGUCUGCCGGGACGGCUGCCCGCCCGGCUGCUUGCGUUGGGCCUCCAUCGCCUGGGAGGAGUGGUGAGCACCGAGGGCAGGAGGCGGAGGGAGUUAGCGCCGUGCGAGACCUUGCCAGAGGCCACCCGGACCACCGUGCGCGUGCAGGCGUCUGGAAGCGGGGAGACAGGUCAUGGGUCCCCGCAUGAAGGGGGCUUGACGUGGGCCCAGCUCG
rnacentral:lncRNA from 1 species